AAACCUCUCUCUUUCGCUCUCCCGUGAGCCGCGAUGCUUUAUACAGAGAUGUCAAAACGACGCAUACGGCUGCAGCCUCUUGAUACCUCUAAACAAACCCCACCGAUAUAUAUUCUUUAUUAUAUGCUAUUUUUGCGGAUUCAACCGAUUCGCUUAUGAAGGGCGUAUCUCCGGGGGCUAAAGACACAGCUCGGUCUUCGGGAGAAGAUGCUAUACAGGAGAUGGAGCAAUAUGCUCGAAAAUAUGCUUGCACAGGCAUAAACAAAGCUGUCUCACUCGUGCGCGUGCUUUUUCACGCAAACACCGGGGACCAUGCAGAGUACUGUAAAACUUCAGCGACUGCUCCUUUGCCGUCUUGAAAAAAAAAAUAUCGCUAGCAUUUUAAUUAUGAUUCACACCUAUCUUCUCGCUCGAGAUAUGUCAGUAGCGAUUCAACCGUCAUAUAGAGCGGUAUUUAACGAUUACCCCUUACAAUGUCGGAUGAAUCAGUGCGUUCUUGUAUUUUGGGUCUUUUACGCCUAACAAAACCGCAUAGCGCUCAGCUGAGACGUCGGUGUAAUGAUCUAUGGUGUUACGAGCUGCUGCGUUUAUCGGGUGAUCGACUCGUGAACAGACUUAAAUACGUGAUCUGGUGGGCCCCUUUACGAGCUCUAGUGGUGGCCUAUAACAGAGGCAUAUUAAGUGGUCAACGAGUGUUGGGUGUUGUGUAUGAGGAGUUACAGCGCCGCGGUGUUUUAGAAGCUCCCCGCGUAAGAGGCCUUGUCGAUGAAAUCAGAUGUAAGUACCAUUAGCUCGAUAAAUCACUGUUGUUGACGGUUAGCAAUACAGCAGUUAUUUUUACCAUAGGCUAUCGGCAGUUUUACGAUGCGGGAAGUGACGAAGAAGAGGCUCUCGCUGAGGCGACGAGAGCUGCGGAGGAAACGGAUCUAGAGCGUCAAGCCGUCCUCUACCAACCGCAGUAUGAGGAGAGGGCUGAGGAAGAGCCCAGGGCGAGCACCUCGGCAGCAUCGGCCGAACCGAUACCGCUGCAGCCCGAGUCUGAUGACGACGAGGCGUCGACUAUUCUAAACCCCUCCUUGAUGUUUAGCGAUCGGUCUGAUAUACUGGCUGUGUACCGGCAAGCCAGAGCAAACGAUGACGACGGAGCGAUAGCGGGUCCAUCGUAUCACCACCAUCGUCAGCAGGAAGAUGACCUCGUACAGCCCGAGAAUCAGCUGGGGGUGUAUCUGAUGGAUG